rnacentral:rRNA from 1 species
GAUGAACGCUGGCGGCGUGCCUAAUACAUGCAAGUCGAGCGAACAGACGAGGAGCUUGCUCCUCUGACGUUAGCGGCGGACGGGUGAGUAACACGUGGAUAACCUACCUAUAAGACUGGGAUAACUUCGGGAGACCGGAGCUAAUACCGGAUAAUAUAUUGAACCGCAUGGUUCAAUAGUGAAAGACGGUUUUGCUGUCACUUAUAGAUGGAUCCGCGCCGCAUUAGCUAGUUGGUAAGGUAACGGCUUACCAAGGCAACGAUGCGUAGCCGACCUGAGAGGGUGAUCGGCCACACUGGAACUGAGACACGGUCCAGACUCCUACGGGAGGCAGCAGUAGGGAAUCUUCCGCAAUGGGCGAAAGCCUGACGGAGCAACGCCGCGUGAGUGAUGAAGGUCUUCGGAUCGUAAAACUCUGUUAUUAGGGAAGAACAAAUGUGUAAGUAACUAUGCACGUCUGGACGGUACCUAAUCAGAAAGCCACGGCUAACUACGU